CCUACGGGAGGCAGCAGUGGGGGAUAUUGCACAAUGGGGGGAACCCUGAUGCAGCGACGCCGCGUGGGUGAAGAAGCGCCUCGGCGCGUAAAGCCCUGUCAGCAGGGAAGAAAAUGACGGUACCUGAAGAAGAAGCAUCGGCUAACUCCGUGCCAGCAGCCGCGGUAAUACGGAGGAUGCGAGCGUUAUCCGGAUUUAUUGGGUUUAAAGGGUGCGCAGGCGGCGUGUCAAGUCAGCGGUAAAAUGUCGGGGCUCAACCCCGGCCGGCCGUUGAAACUGGCGUGCUCGAGUUGGAGAGAAGUAGG
rnacentral:rRNA from 1 species